CCUACGGGAGGCAGCAGUGAGGAAUAUUGGUCAAUGGGCGGGAGCCUGAACCAGCCAAGUCGCGUGAAGGAAGAAGGUACUUAGUAUUGUAAACUUCUUUUAUCAGGGAACAAAGAAUGCGACGCGUAGCCGGAUGCGUGUACCCGAUGAAUAAGCAUCGGCUAACUCCGUGCCAGCAGCCGCGGUAAUACGGAGGAUGCGAGCGUUAUCCGGAUUUAUUGGGUUUAAAGGGUGCGAAGGCGGGAUAUGAAGUCAGUGGUAAAACGUCGGGGCUCAACCUCGAUCGGCCGAUAAAACUGGAGUUCUAGAGUAGAGGAGAGGUAGGCGGAAUACGUGGUGUAGCGGUGAAAUGCAUAGAUAUCACGAAGAACCCCGAUAGCGAAGGCAGCUUACCGGACUCUUACUGACGCUGAGGCACGAGAGCGUGGGGAGCGAACAGGAUUAGAUACCCCAGUAGUC
rnacentral:rRNA from 1 species